CCUACGGGGUGCAGCAGUGAGGAAUAUUGGUCAAUGGGCGCGAGCCUGAACCAGCCAAGUAGCGUGAAGGAUGACUGCCCUACGGGUUGUAAACUUCUUUUAUAAAAGAGUAAAGUGAGGCACGUGUACCUUUUUGUAUGUACUUUAUGAAUAAGGAUCGGCUAACUCCGUGCCAGCAGCCGCGGUAAUACGGAGGAUCCGAGCGUUAUCCGGAUUUAUUGGGUUUAAAGGGAGCGUAGAUGGGCUGUUAAGUCAGUGGUGAAAGUUUGCGGCUCAACCUUAAAAUUGCAAUUGAUACUGGAAGUCUUGAGGACAGUUGAGGUAGGCGGAAUGCGUGGUGUAGCGGUGAAAUGCUUAGAGAUCACGCAGAACUCCGAUUGCGAAGGCAGCUUACUAAACUGCCACUGACAUUGAUGCUCGAAAGUGUGGGUAUCAAACAGGAUUAGAUACCCGUGUAGUC
rnacentral:rRNA from 1 species